rnacentral:rRNA from 1 species
UGUCCCUACGGGAGGCAGCAGUGAGGAAUAUUGGUCAAUGGUCGGGAGACUGAACCAGCCAAGCCGCGUGAGGGAUGAAGGUACAGAGUAUCGUAAACCUCUUUUGUCAGGGAACAAAGGCGGGGACGCGUCCCCGGAUGAGUGUACCUGAAGAAAAAGCAUCGGCUAACUCCGUGCCAGCAGCCGCGGUAAUACGGAGGAUGCGAGCGUUAUCCGGAUUUAUUGGGUUUAAAGGGUGCGCAGGCGGAGGGGCAAGUCAGCGGUC